rnacentral:rRNA from 1 species
UACCCGCUGAACUUAAGCAUAUCAAUAAGCGGAGGAAAAGAAACUAACAAGGAUUCCCCUAGUAACUGCGAGUGAAGCGGGAAAAGCUCAAAUUUAAAAUCUGGCGGUCUUUGGCCGUCCGAGUUGUAGUCUGGAGAAGUGCUUUCCGCGCUGGACCGUGUAUAAGUCUCUUGGAACAGAGCGUCAUAGAGGGUGAGAAUCCCGUCUUUGACACGGACUACCAGUGCUUUGUGAUGCGCUCUCAAAGAGUCGAGUUGUUUGGGAAUGCAGCUCAAAAUGGGUGGUGAAUUCCAUCUAAAGCUAAAUAUUGGCGAGAGACCGAUAGCGAACAAGUACCGUGAGGGAAAGAUGAAAAGCACUUUGGAAAGAGAGUUAAACAGUACGUGAAAUUGCUGAAAGGGAAACGCUUGAAGUCAGUCGCGUUGUCCGGAACUCAGCCUUGCUUUUGCUUGGUGCACUUUCCGGAUGACGGGUCAGCAUCGAUUUUGACCGUCGGAAAAGGGCUGGAGUAAUGUGGCACCUCCGGGUGUGUUAUAGACUCUGGUCGCAUACGGCGGUUGGGAUCGAGGAACGCAGCGCGCCGCAAGGCAGGGGUUCGCCCACUUUCGCGCUUAGGAUGCUGGCAUAAUGGCUUUAAACGACCCGUCUUGAAACACGGACCAAGGAGUCUAACAUACCUGCGAGUGUUUGGGUGGAAAACCCGAGCGCGUAAUGAAAGUGAAAGUUGAGAUCCCUGUCGUGGGGAGCAUCGACGCCCGGACCAGACGUUCUCUGACGGAUCCGCGGUAGAGCAUGUAUGUUGGGACCCGAAAGAUGGUGAACUAUGCCUGAAUAGGGUGAAGCCAGAGGAAACUCUGGUGGAGGCUCGUAGCGAUUCUGACGUGCAAAUCGAUCGUCAAAUUUGGGUAUAGGGGCGAAAGACUAAUCGAACCAUCUAUUAAUCUGGGUCCUGUCGAAGUUUCCCUUAAGAUCG